CCCCAGUUGACCAUUUCACCCCACCCCACCUGUCAAGUAAGAACAGGUGUUAAUGACAACUACUAGCCCCAGUUGACCAUUUCACCCCACCCCACCUGUCAAGUAGGAACAGGUGUUAAUGACAACUACUAGCCCCAGUUGACCAUUUCACCCCACCCCACCUGUCAAGUAGGAACAGGUGUUAAUGACAAUUACUGGGUUUUCAAUAAAUAAAAUGGGGGGGCGGGGCAUUUUUGGGUUGGUCAAGUGUCUUUUUCAUUGAACUAUGUGCUUUCAAUGCAGUGAAAAAUAAAACACUUCAAAGUAUAAUAAAAAGAAGACUAAAUCACACAGAAAUAUGAAAGUAAAUUGAAUGUCACCAUAUCAAAGCUAUUUCCAACAGCAGCAACUAAAAUUCCUCAACUCAAAAACGAUACAAAUGGUUCCCUUCGCUGUAGUAGCACAUAAUACAUUGUUGUUGUCCAAUCAUACCGUACGAUCCUGACGAAUCAAAUCCCUGCUCGCAGCCAUAAUCCAACUGAUUGGAGUUCCAUAAAAUAAAGUUGACUUGUAUGUAUUAAACACUACAGUGUAACAA